rnacentral:rRNA from 1 species
UACGUAGGGUGCAAGCGUUGUCCGGAAUUAUUGGGCGUAAAGAGCGCGUAGGCGGUCCGGUAAGUCGGCUGUGAAAGUCAAGGGCUCAACCCUUGAAAGCCGGCCGAUACUGUCGGACUAGAGUCCGGAAGAGGCGAGUGGAAUUCCCGGUGUAGCGGUGAAAUGCGCAGAUAUGGGAGGAACACCAAUGCGAAGGCACUGCUGGGGACGGUACUGAACGCUGAGGGC